UUUAGGAGGGGCGAAGCUCCUCUUAUUGUGAGGGCGAGUUAUAUAACACCAUAGGACUGGCCGUCCCAUAUGAAAAGAUUAUAUUAGAAUUGAAUGAAGCUUUGUUUAUAUAUUGAUAAUGACAGUAUAUAUAUCGUGUCUUGACUAAUUGCGUGCCAGCAGUCGCGGUAAUACGUAAGAGACUAGUGUUAUUCAUCUUAAUUAGGUUUAAAGGGUACCCAGACGGUCAAUAUAGCUUAUAAAAUGUUAGUACUUGACUAGAGUUUUAUGUAAGAGGGCAGUACUUGAGGAGGAGAGAUGAAAUUUCGUGAUACCAAAGGGACUCUGUAAAGGCGAAGGCAGCCCUCUAUGUAAAAACUGACGUUGAAGGACGAAGGCACAGAGAACAAACAGGAUUAGAUACCCAAGUAGUCUUUGCAGUAAAUGAUGAAUGCCAUAGGUUAGAAUGGGUGGGCUCGUCUAGUUGAGUUAGUUUAGCAAACUAAUGAUCUAGACGAGCCCACCGUAUAUUUGGUCUAUAAAUGAAAGUGUAAGCAUUUCACCUCAAGAGUAAUGUGGCAACGC
rnacentral:rRNA from 1 species